rnacentral:rRNA from 1 species
GUAUAUUAAAGUUGUUGCAGUUAAAACGUUCGUAGUUGAAUUUGUGUUCCACACGGGCAGUACACCUAAAUCUUGGGUUUGUACAUUGCCUUAAAAUUAAAAAUGUGUGUGAACGUAUUACCGGCUGAAUUUAUAUUUUUAAUAUGAAUUCACAUAUUAUAUGUCCUACUUCAGUGCUCUUAAUCGAGUGCUGUUGUGGGCCGGUACAAUUACUUUGAACAAAUUAGAGUGCUUAAAGCAGGCUUUUAAUGCCUGAAUAUUUGUGCAUGGAAUAAUGGAAGAGGACAUCUGUUCUAUUUUCUAUUGGUUUUUAGAUCAAGAUGUAAUGAUUAAUAGAAGCAGUUGGGGGCAUUAGUAUUACGACGCGAAAGGUGAAAUUCUUGGACCGUCGUAAGACUGACUAAAGCGAAAGCAUUUGCCAAAUAUGUUUUCAUUAAUCAAGAACGAAAGUUAGAGGUUCGAAGGCGAUCAGAUACCGCCCUAGUUCUAACCAUAAACGAUGUCAGCUAGCAAUUGAAUGUAGCUACUACUAUGGCUCUUUCAGACGCUUCUCGGGAAACCAAAGCUUUUGGGCUCCGGGGGAAGUAUGGUUGCAAAGCUGAAACUUAAAGGAAUUGACGGAAGGGCACCACCAGGAGUGGAGCCUGCGGCUUAAUUUGACUCAACACGGGAAAACUUACCAGGUCCGAACAUAAAUAAGUAAGACAGAUUGAUAGCUCUUUCUCGAAUCUAUGGGUGGUGGUGCAUGGCCGUUCUUAGUUCGUGGAGUGAUUUGUCUGGUUAAUUCCGAUAACGAACGAGACUCAAAUAUAUUAAAUAGAUGCAUUCAGGAUUAUGGUGUUGAAGCUUAUAUGCUCGCCUGUUUUCGUUCCUCACGGUGCGUUUGCAGUUGUGUAUGUAUGUAAGUGGAGCCAUACCUGUUUGUUUGUCUAAUUAAAAAUAGACACUAGCUUCUUAAAUGGACAAAUUG